GACGAACGCUGGCGGCGUGCUUAACACAUGCAAGUCGAGCGGUAAGGCCCUUUCGGGGUACGACGAGCGGCGAACGGUGAGUAACACGUGGGUGACCUGCCCUCAGCUCUGGGAUAAGCCUGGGAAACCGGGUCUAAUACUGGAUAUGACUCCAUGACGCAUGUUGGUGGGGUGGAAAGCCUUGUGCGGCUGAGGAUGGGCCCGCGGCCUAUCAGCUUGUUGGUGGGGUGAGGCCUACCAAGGCGACGACGGGUAGCCGGCCUGAGAGGGCGACCGGCCACACUGGGACUGAGACACGGCCCAGACUCCUACGGGAGGCAGCAGUGGGGAAUCUUGCGCAAUGGGCGAAAGCCUGACGCAGCGACG
rnacentral:rRNA from 1 species